rnacentral:rRNA from 1 species
CGGAACGUAUCCUUAAGUGGGGGACAACCUAGCGAAAGUUAGGCUAAUACCGCAUACGAUGGAGACAUGAAAGCAGGGGAUCGCGAGACCUUGCGCUUUUGGAGCGGCCGAUAUCAGAUUAGCUUGUUGGUGAGGUAAAGGCUCACCAAGGCGACGAUCUGUAGCUGGUCUGAGAGGAUGAUCAGCCACACUGGGACUGAGACACGGCCCAG